ACAGGAUGCUACAGGGUGUGCCAGCUGCCUGAGUGUCUGGUGAGACAUGCUGAUCCUGGGAGCAUGAAGAUUCAGCUCUCCUGGUUCGGGUCCCUGGAGUCAUUCCUGUGUCCUUGGAGGAAUAUGGAGGAUUCCCACUCAUCUUUUGUCAUCACAGAAAUUCUGGCGUUGCUGCAGUCAUUGUGUCCCGUCCCACCACGGCCUGCGCUCCGACCCUCUGUGCACUGUUGCUUGGUGGAAGCUGCUGUGGACUGGGGAACUCUGCCCUGGUUUUGCAGAUCUCAGACAUGGUUCCAUUGCCUGCUGGUUGUUCCAGAGAAGAAUGACCGAUCCUGAACUGUCCUGGGAAAGACCUUGGCAUUUUCG
rnacentral:lncRNA from 1 species